rnacentral:rRNA from 1 species
GACGAACGCUGGCGGCGUGCUUAACACAUGCAAGUCGAACGGAAAGGCCCUGCUUUUGUGGGGUGCUCGAGUGGCGAACGGGUGAGUAACACGUGAGUAACCUGCCCUUGACUUUGGGAUAACUUCAGGAAACUGGGGCUAAUACCGGAUAGGAGCUCCUGCUGCAUGGUGGGGGUUGGAAAGUUUCGGCGGUUGGGGAUGGACUCGCGGCUUAUCAGCUUGUUGGUGGGGUAGUGGCUUACCAAGGCUUUGACGGGUAGCCGGCCUGAGAGGGUGACCGGGCACAUGGGGACUGAGAUACGGCCCAGACUCCAACGGGAGGCAGCAGUGGGGAAUAUUGCACAAUCGGCGGAAGCCUGAUGCAGCAACGCCGCGUGCGGGAUGACGGCCUGCGGGGGGUAAACCGCUUUCGCCUGUGACGAAGCGUGAGUGACGGUAAUGGGUAAAGAAGCACCGGCUAACUACGUG